rnacentral:rRNA from 1 species
UACGUAGGGUGCGAGCGUUAAUCGGAAUUACUGGGCGUAAAGCGUGCGCAGGCGGUUUUGUAAGCCAGAUGUGAAAUCCCCGGGCUUAACCUGGGAAUGGCAUUUGGGACUGCGUAGCUAGGGUGCGGAAGAGGGAAGCGGAAUUUCCGGUGUAGCGGUGAAAUGCGUAGAUAUCGGAAGGAACACCAGUGGCGAAAAGCGGCUUCCUGGUCCAGCACCGACGUCAGGCACGAAAGCGUGGGGAGCAAACAGG